rnacentral:lncRNA from 1 species
CAUGGGAGGAGGGUGAGGGAUCAAGUGACUUUUCAUCCCUUGAUUUCUUUUUACUUGGCUGGGGUCUUGUGUUUAGGAAGAGUGGUAUAAAGUUCACCCAUGCAGCUUUGGUUCCCAAUGUUGUCUUUGGCUAACAGAGACUGGUCCUGGCAGACAGCAAUAGCAGGACAGUAUGAGGAUGGACUGCCAGUACAGCAAAGGAUGAAUUUAUGUCAAGGAGAUAUGGAAAAUCGGUGUGGAUCCAACACCUGGCUCUGCCUCCUUCUCAGGAGUGAAGGAUCCUCAGGAGGAGGAGAUUGA